rnacentral:snoRNA from 1 species
GUGAUGAAGUCUCGGGGAGUAAAGAUGAGUGACUUGGCGGUUAUCACGCUGA